rnacentral:misc_RNA from 1 species
GAUGAAGAACGUAGCGAAAUGCGAUACGUAAUGUGAGUUGCAGAAUUCAGUGAAUCAUCGAGUCUUUGAACGCACAUUGCGCCCCCUGGUAUUCCGGGGGGCAUGCCUGUCCGAGCGUCAUUGCUGCCCUCAAGCACGGCUUGUGUGUUGGGCCUCCGCCCCCCGGCUCCCGGGGGGCGGGCCCGAAAGGCAGCGGCGGCACCGCGUCCGGUCCUCGAGCGUAUGGGGCUUCGUCACCCGCUCCGUAGGCCCGGCCGGCGCCCGCCGGCGACCCCCCUCAAUCUUUCCAGGUUGACCUCGGAUCAGGUAGGGAUACCCGCUGAACUUAAGCAUAUCAAUAAGCGGAGGA